rnacentral:rRNA from 1 species
UACGUAGGGGACGAGCGUUGUCCGGAAUUAUUGGGCGUAAAGGGUUCGCAGGCGGCCUUGUAAGUCAGAUGUGAAAGACAGCGGCUUAACCGUUGUAAGCAUUUGAAACUGCAGGGCUUGAGUACAGGAGAGGAAGGCGGAAUUCCUAGUGUAGCGGUGAAAUGCGUAGAUAUUAGGAGGAACACCAGUGGCGAAGGCGGCUUUCUGGACUGAUACUGACGCUGAGGAACGAAAGCGUGGGGAGCAAACAGGAUUAGAUACCCCUGUAGUCCCUGA